rnacentral:rRNA from 1 species
GACGAACGCUGGCGGCGUGCUUAACACAUGCAAGUCGAACGGAAAGGCCCUGCUUGCAGGGUACUCGAGUGGCGAACGGGUGAGUAACACGUGGGUGAUCUGCCCUGCACUUCGGGAUAAGCCUGGGAAACUGGGUCUAAUACCGGAUAGGAGCCAUUUUUAGUGUGAUGGUUGGAAAGUUUUUUCGGUGUAGGAUGAGCUCGCGGCCUAUCAGCUUGUUGGUGGGGUAAUGGCCUACCAAGGCGGCGACGGGUAGCCGGCCUGAGAGGGUGGACGGCCACAUUGGGACUGAGAGACGGCCCAGACUCCUACGGGAGGCAGCAGUGGGGAAUAUUGCACGAUGGGCGCAAGCCUGAUGCAGCGACGCCGCGUGGGGGAUGACGGCCUUCGGGUUGUAAACUCCUUUCGCUAGGGACGAAGCUUUUUGUGACGGUACCUAGAUAAGAAGCACCGGCUAACUACGUG